rnacentral:rRNA from 1 species
CCCUUAGAUGUUCUGGGCCGCACGCGUGCUACACCGAGUAAUUCAAUGGGUAAGGGAACGCUAGAGCAUUACCUAAUCUUGAAAUUUGCUCGUGAUGGGGAUCGACGGUUGCAAUUUUCCGUCGUGAACGAGGAAUACCUUGUAGGCGCAUGUCAUCAUCAUGCGCCGAAUACGUCCCUGCCCUUUGUACACACCGCCCGUCGCUCCUACCGAUUGAGUGAUCCGGUGAGGCUCUGGGACCUGGACGGAAAGAGCGUUUCGCUUGUUCUGUUUGGGAAACUUGGUCGAACCUUAUCAUUUAGAGGAAGGAGAAGUCGUAACA